rnacentral:rRNA from 1 species
GUGGGGAAUAUUGGGCAAUGGGCGAAAGCCUGACCCAGCAACGCCGCGUGAGGGAAGAAGGCCUUCGGGUUGUAAACCUCUGUCCUUGGUGACGAAAAAAAUGACGGUAGCCAAGGAGGAAGCCCCGGCUAACUACGUGCCAGCAGCCGCGGUAAUACGUAGGGGGCGAGCGUUGUCCGGAAUUACUGGGCGUAAAGGGUGCGUAGGUGGCCUUUUAAGUUGGAUGUGAAAUACCCGGGCUUAACUUGGGGGGUGCAUCUAAUACUGGAGGGCUAGAGUGCAGGAGAGGGAAGCGGAAUUCCUAGUGUAGCGGUGAAAUGCGUAGAUAUUAGGAGGAACACCAGUGGCGAAGGCGGCUUUCUGGACUGUAACUGACACUGAGGCACGAAAGCGUGGGGAGCAAACAGGAUUAGAUACCCCUGUAGUCC